AACCCUGGAUGCUGUUCUAAGCAGUGCAUGCACCCAGCGUGCACUUCCAACUUGAUAAGAGCUACUUUGAGGAGCCUGGGAGUUCAUGAGGAAGCUGGACAGACCAAGAUCAAGGAGAGUUUGUACAGAUGGCACUGACUGCUUUUACUACCCCAAGAAAUUCGGUCACUGUUCAGUGAGCAGUCAAGACAGAGACUGGGGUGACUAAUACACGCAAUUGAAAGCCCUCUUAUCAC
rnacentral:lncRNA from 1 species